AGGGUUCGAUCCUGGCUCAGGAUGAACGCUGGCGGCGUGCUUAACACAUGCAAGUCGAACGAACCUUCGGGUUAGUGGCGGACGGGUGAGUAACGCGUGGGAAUCUGCCCUCAGGAGGGGGAUAACGGUUGGAAACGGCCGCUAAUACCCCAUAUGCCGAGAGGUGAAAUGAAUUUCGCCUGAGGAUGAGCCCGCGUCUGAUUAGCUAGUUGGUGAGGUAAUGGCUCACCAAGGCAUCGAUCAGUAGCUGGUCUGAGAGGAUGAUCAGCCACACUGGGACUGAGACACGGCCCAGACUCCUACGGGAGGCAGCAGUGGGGAAUUUUCCGCAAUGGGCGCAAGCCUGACGGAGCAACGCCGCGUGAGGGAUGAAGGCCUCUGGGCUGUAAACCUCUUUUCUCAAGGAAGAAGAUCUGACGGUACUUGAGGAAUAAGCCACGGCUAAUUCCGUGCCAGCAGCCGCGGUAAUACGGGAGUGGCAAGCGUUAUCCGGAAUUAUUGGGCGUAAAGCGUCCGCAGGCGGCUUUUCAAGUCUGCUGUUAAAGCGUGGAGCUUAACUCCAUCAAGGCAGUGGAAACUGAUUGGCUUGAGUGUGGUAGGGGCAGAGGGAAUUCCCGGUGUAGCGGUGAAAUGCGUAGAUAUCGGGAAGAACACCAGUGGCGAAGGCGCUCUGCUGGGCCAUAACUGACGCUCAUGGACGAAAGCCAGGGGAGCGAAAGGGAUUAGAUACCCCUGUAGUCCUGGCCGUAAACGAUGAACACUAGGUGUCGGGGGAAUCGACCCCCUCGGUGUCGUAGCCAACGCGUUAAGUGUUCCGCCUGGGGAGUACGCACGCAAGUGUGAAACUCAAAGGAAUUGACGGGGGCCCGCACAAGCGGUGGAGUAUGUGGUUUAAUUCGAUGCAACGCGAAGAACCUUACCAGGGUUUGACAUCCUGCGAACCUCUAAGAAAUUAGAGGGUGCCUUUGGGAACGCAGUGACAGGUGGUGCAUGGCUGUCGUCAGCUCGUGUCGUGAGAUGUUGGGUUAAGUCCCGCAACGAGCGCAACCCACGUUUUUAGUUGCCAGCAUUCAGUUGGGCACUCUAGAGAGACCGCCGGUGAUAAACCGGAGGAAGGUGUGGAUGACGUCAAGUCAUCAUGCCCCUUACAUCCUGGGCUACACACGUACUACAAUGCUACGGACAAAGGGCAGCAAACUCGCGAGGGCAAGCAAAUCCCAUAAACCGUGGCUCAGUUCAGAUCGUAGGCUGCAACUCGCCUACGUGAAGAAGGAAUCGCUAGUAAUCGCAGGUCAGCAUACUGCGGUGAAUACGUUCCCGGGCCUUGUACACACCGCCCGUCACACCAUGGAAGUUGGCCACGCCCGAAGUCGUUACUCCAACCCUUGUGGAGGAGGACGCCGAAGGUGGGGCUGAUGACUGGGGUGAAGUCGUAACAAGGUAGCC
rnacentral:rRNA from 1 species